UACGUAGGGGGCGAGCGUUGUCCGGAUUUAUUGGGCGUAAAGAGCGUGUAGGCGGCCAGGUAGGUCAGCUGUGAAAACUCGAGGCUCAACCUCGAGAUGUCGGCUGAAACCAUCUGGCUAGAGUCCGGAAGAGGAGAAUGGAAUUCCCGGUGUAGCGGUGAAAUGCGCAGAUAUCGAGAGGAACACCUGCGGCGAAGGCGGGUUGCUGGGCUGACACUGACGCUGAGGCGCGAAAGCUAGGGGAGCGAACGGG
rnacentral:rRNA from 1 species